rnacentral:rRNA from 1 species
UGCCAGACUCCUACGGGAGGCAGCAGUGGGGAAUAUUGCACAAUGGGGGAAACCCUGAUGCAGCAACGCCGCGUGAGUGAAGAAGUAUCUCGGUAUGUAAGGCUCUAUCAGCAGGGAAGAAGAUGACGGUACCUGAGUAAGAAGCCCAGGCUAACUACGUGCCAGCAGCCGCGGUAAUACGUAGGGGGCAAGCGUUAUCCGGAUUUACUGGGUGUAAAGGGAGCGUAGACGGCGAUGCAAGUCUGAAGUGAAAGGCGGGGGCCCAACCCCCGGACUGCUUUGGAAACUGUAUAGCUGGAGUGCAGGAGAGGUAAGUGGAAUUCCUAGUGUAGCGGUGAAAUGCGUAGAUAUUAGGAGGAACACCAGUGGCGAAGGCGGCUUACUGGACUGUAACUGACGUUGAGGCUCGAAAGCGUGGGGAGCAAACAGGAUUAGAUACCCGAGUAAG